GCCUAUUGGCCCCCCAAUCCCCACAGGCCACAGCCGCCCGCCUGCACCUCUCCCUCCUCCGGUCCUCCCUCGUCUCAGCCGCCACCCCCACGAACCCUAACCGCGCCCUCCUGCACCUGUCCUCCUCCCCCUUCCUGGUCCGCCCCAAGUCCCUCCUCGUCUCAUGAUCUAGCCAAGGAAAAACAGGGUGGCGUGAUGCCCUGGUCGUCGACCGGCGGGGAGCCUACGUAGAGGCGGUGGCGGAGACGACCCUAGAUGGGCCAAGAUCUGGACAGGGCGCCUCAACCUCGCCUUCCUCUUCCACGUACUCGCUGAUAGAGAGACAGCAGCAGCGGUGGGAGGAGCCUGGGCAUAGAGGAGAGAAGUGGAAGAGGGGGUGCAAAGCCAGGAGAUGGGGUCGCCGGAUGAGCACAGCCGCACAGGGCCUGAUCCCGCCGCUGCCAGAGCAGAGUGGAGGACCACACGGGGCCCGAUGGGGUGGCCGGGAGCGCGCGGCACCCGGCUCCCAAGAAGGGAAUGCAGCGGUGCUGGCCUCUCCUCUCCCCGCGCCUCUGUCCUGCGUCGUCACCACCACCACGACGUUGCUCGCCAUUGACCUCCCCAAGUGCUUCUCUCCACAAAUGGUGCCGCCAUGUCCAGAUCAAUUCAAGCGCCAGGAAAGUACAACACGUGCACAUAACUUGUUUGAGGAAAUUUCAUCUGGAAGCAAUAUUUGAUCAUGACUUGUGUUCUUGAUGCUUCAUCUGCGGCUAGCUGACUACAACAUCACAUAUGUAAAGGGAAACCAUCAUAAGAAACACAGGAAGACAUUGCAUUGUUGAAGGAGUACAUUGGGGACUGGAGUCGAUGGCCUACGACAUGGGCAGACACGUGUGCUUCAUGAUUGUUGUUGGUUAACUCGGAGUAUAUGAUGCCUUGAAGGAAUGAUGUGCAUAAUUCAGACUAAAUCUUGCUGGUGAUAGUGAGGAGUUUAUUUGGCUGUAGCACUUUGAUUCUUUCUCACUGUCAAAGUUUGUUCAUUUCUUCUCUCUCAUAUUUUUCUGUUUGUUUCAGUGUGCUAUGUGCAUUUUGCUGGUGGCGGGAGUGGCGGCCAAGAUGAUGGGCGCGGGAGUGGCGCACGUGUGAGCAAUGACAAGCGUGUCUGCUGCCAACAUGCGAAGGUUAGCUCUGCCAAACCCUGCUCGGCUCACAUUGCACCAUGGCCAUUACCAUCUACGGCUUCACAAUAGUGGUGAGAUGUCCAUAUUCAUGGAAUUUUGGGUGAUUGUAAGGUGUUGUGUUGCCAUUAAAUUAGAUUGACUUAUUAAAACUGAAGGACGGUCGAUUUGCUGAUCAUGCACUGGUAGAAAAAUAUCAAAAACUGUAACAUACUUUGCAUGGUAUUAAAUUUACUUCUCCAGGAUGUUUUUGUGCCCUUCAUGGGUGAAUCUGUAACUGAUGGAACCCUUUCCAAUUUCUUAAUGCUACUAUACAAAUGUAGUCGAGUAGAUCUUUAGGUGUUUCAGAAUGAACACACCAGUUGCUUUCUUAGAUUCAUUUCAACCAAAAGAAUGGGUAAUAUGUUUUUCUGAAAACAUGGAUACACUUGGUGUUGUAUAAUGGAAUAUGUAGUUAUUGACAUAGUAUUUAUUUUAUACUAAUGAUUCAUACAGCUUGGAGGGGAAUUAGUAUCUAACAUCUUGGUAAAUGUAUGCUAGGGAUUUUUUGCCAUUGUAAAAUCGAUACAAAGCCCGUAUUUUUGAUGAUGCACUAUGAUAAUAGAAAGCAUUUCUGAAAAUUGUGUUAUUGUAGAUGUGGCAUCGUUCUCGAGAGCAGUCCCAGGCCGUAUUAAUUCAGAAGAAUAAAUUCUUCUACUUCUGUUUAUUGUGCUUUUAAAUACUGCUCCUGUACAGGACGGCUGCGAGAAUGGGCUCUCUGAGGCGGCUGUAUUAUGUUCCUUGCUUUCUCCAUCUUCACCCCUUACGUCCUUGAUGAAAUAAUUUAUAUAUGCAAAUUAAGUGCCACACAUCAGUUGCAAGUGGUCAUGCAUCCUCCUUGUCAAUUUCUCCCAGAGAGCGAGUGUUUACAAGUCCAGUGCUUAUGGCAGUUAUUAAUUAGUCAAGAUUCAGUUCUGAUGUAGAAUAUUCAGUUUAGUUGGUCUGCAUUUGUCCCAGAGAGCGAGUGUUCAUAGGUGCAGUGCUUAUGCAAGUUAUUAUUUAGUCUAGAUUCUGUUCUGGUGCAGAAUGUCUAAUAACUUGCCACUUAAGUUUUUCUACAAACUAAAAUUUGAAAUUUAGAAUUGAUCUAGCCAUAGUUUUUGAAGCAAGAAUACCAUGACUUCUUUAUAUCUUUUUCGAGCUGGAACACUCAGCUAUCGUGAUUCUUUUGUAGACCUUCUUGACUGGACAAAAUGUAUGUUGUGGAGAAAUUAUAAAUCGCCUUACAAAUUGCAGUGAUGUUGUGUAGAAACUGAACAGGGAAGAGACCCAUGGCCCAGAGUAGUACAUGAAAAUGAAGGAUACCAGACUGGCCCAUGGAGCAUGAGAUCCCCACCUUACUUGUAUGGCCUCAGGCUGAGGAGACCCUUCUAAUUAAGGUGGUCACCACUUACUUGCAUAUUUGAACCUAUUUGCUGACCAGUUGCGAGUUAGUACCUGGGAAAAUGAACAUUUUUCUACCUCAAAUUUGCAUAUCCGUAUCCUUGUCUAAUUUAAGAUUGCUUUUCUUACUAUGAAGAAGAUUUGUGCUGCUGUAGUGUUCUUCAGUUUCUGGUGUUUAGAUGUCAGUUCAUUGUUGAGACAAUUCUGCUAUGUCCGUCUUCUGGAAGAUGGAGUAAGUAAAUUUUGUUUUCUGUACAUUUUCGCAGAUCCUAUUCGCAAAAGGAAAAAAUAAAUAGAUAUAGAGAGGUAUAAAUUCAACAAAAAACAUUUUUUGAUUAAAAGGCUAUUCCAUUUGUCACCUAUUGUACUUGCCCAUGACUAAAACAAUUAAUGCAUGGUUUUCUUUUCAAAGCAUGCACGGAAUUAGUAGGCCUUUGCGUAACGGGUAUAGUGCUGCCAGGAGAUUAAGUAUAUUCAUGAAGUUGUGCAAAGUUUAAAAUUGGUUGCGGUAUCUCACAUUUGUCUAAUCCUCAUAUGUUGCUGGUAGGCAUGCUUAUGCCCAGAAUAUUAAGUAAGCUUGUGUUGUGCUGUGACUAAAUAAAGCAAUGUUCAGACUUAUCUUUUGUUUGCUCUACUUAAAGUGUUUAGGGUUUACCUAGAGGGAUAUUAUAUGUUUCCUACUGCCGUCUCCCGCGUGACGUCAAGAAAAUCCCUGAUGUUUAUGUUUUACUUGGCCUAAAUUUUGGUUUUCAAAUAGUUCUGCCUCUCAAUUUGAUAUUUCUACUUGCUUUUGCUUAGUAAUAUGAUGUACUGUUUUCUAGCUCUAGGCCUACUUGCGUUGAAGGUUCAGUUGAUUGUUUCUCUUAAGGGUGUUUUUUUAAUUAGUGGCAUCAACAUGUGGCACUAAUUCCGUUAUGCAUUGUAUUGUGAAUUUUCCAAACAACACCAUUAUGGUAAAUAGAGAUGCUAAUGAGAAUAACAGAGAUGCUAAGAGGCAACCUUUUGGGGAUAUAAACAACAACAUGGCUUAUGAGUCCGAAGAGAGCUCGAGUGGUGUCUUUUGGUCCUUGAAGCCCUGCACUUUCCUGGUGGAGUAGCAGCAAAAUAAUUCAGAGACUUUAAAGCUACUGCGCUUCAUGUAGUUAGGAUCAAUUCUUGGUCUCGGUUUGAAAUAUUCCCCACUUCCUCCUAUUUGAUUGAUUCGUCUGACGGACAUUUUGUCAAGAAAAUAAACAGAAGGCAUAUGUAUUAUUACGAGUGAAGCCAUCCAUACAAGUUAAGAUAUUAAUAAUCCCAUAUGUGGAAUUCGAUACAUAGAGAAAUGUUAUUAUUCUUUUGCUAAUUGGUUGCUUGACCAAAUGUACUGUAAAUGACAUUAUUAUUGUUCAAGAUAUACAUAAAUGUUGUUCUUCA